CGGACGGCUGAGUAACGCGUAGGUAACCUGCCCCGAAGUGGGGGAUAACUGCCCGAAAGGGUGGCUAAUACCGCAUGUGGUGGUUCGUUCAAUCGACCCAUCAAAGCAGCAAUGCGCUUCGGGAGGGGCCUGCGUCCGAUUAGCUCGUUGGUGGGGUAACGGCUCACCAAGGCGACGAUCGGUAGGUGGUCUGAGAGGACGAUCACCCAGACUGGGACUGAGACACGGCCCAG
rnacentral:rRNA from 1 species